rnacentral:lncRNA from 1 species
UGGAAAGAAUAAAAUUUGGGUUCGAGCAACCCAUUUUUAGGCCUACUUUUUGGACCUAGUCCAUAAUUACCAAACCCAUAAUUCCUAGUCCCAUACCCGUAACCUAAUUCCUACCCCGAUAUAAUAGUACCUAACACCUAAAUAUACAAUACACCCUAAGAGCCAAUGCAAGAGAGAAGCUUCACAACAACAGCAUUCCCAGCAAAAAAGCAACACCCUCUCUGAUUUUCAUGAAUACAAAAAUACAGAGCUUUCCUUCUUCAUUAAAGAGAUCGGCCAUAAACACCCCAAAACAACCCAAAAUAUCCAUUAGAACUACUCUAAAUCUAGCCUGAAACAACCACCAAAAAACUCCUUUAAACUCCAGCAAAAUCCAGCAGCUUUUUAGCUGCAAAAAACCACCAAAAUCAGCCUCCAAAACAGACCCAGAACAGCCCAAAAACGAGCUGGAAAUCUACCCCCGAACCAGCCCUCUUCUCAGUCCAAAAAAUGACUUUGAAACAGCCCCAAACAACCACCCAAAAUGCAGCAAAAGACCAGUUGCGAACAGCCCCAAAACCUAGCUCGAAACAGCCCCCAAAAGCCCCAAAUUUCAGCCACAAAUGACCCGAAAAUCUCAGCCAAAACCCAGUUCCAAAAGACCUCGAAACCGUCCCAAAACUAACCUCAAAAGUCACUUUCAAUUACUAUUGAUUCUCUCUUCAGUCAAGGAGAUCUAGCUAUAAUCAUUGUGAGGUUGCCGCUCGGGUUUCGAUCUCGGAUCAAGGUUAUGUUCUCUGUUUCGUUGUUUACAUCCGUUCGCUCACAGACUUAUGAGGUUCUUAUCUUGUCCUCUUUCUGAUUAAUGAGUUUUUGUGCCUCUCUUAGUUAAAUAAAAUAAUGAAACUCAUAUUGAUAUAUUCUAGUAUGCUUACUUCAAUGUUUGUUUUAUUAUAAUUUCUUUUGACAGUAGUGUUUUUAUAACUUGGUCUAGCAUUGAUUCUUUUUUUUCUCUUUUUUGUUAGUUCUGUUUACUCUAUUAUUUGUCAUUUUAUUUUAUUGUUUAAACGCGUUGUUAAUAGGGUAUAUGAUUUCAAGUGUCACCAAGUUUUGAAAUUGAAAACAGGAUUUUCACAUUUUAAGCUUAUUAGAAGCAAUAACGUAUUCAAGUUGGCCAUGAGAUUUAGGCUUGGUUUAAUGAAAAGCAUAAGUCAUAGGAAAGAUUGAAUAAUGGAAUGAUACUAGUAGUAACUUUAAGAUUAAAUUUGGACAUUAAGUGUUCGGUUCUAUUUGAUGUUGCUUUGUAAUUUGGCAACAGAAAGACUCAUGUUGUUCUCUAGCCAUCAUUAUAUAUGAUGUGUGGACUUUAAGAAGUUACUGGGAUAAAUAAUAAAAGUUUGCCAGGCCCGUCAUACUUUAAUUCAUAAACCAACACAUCUUUCCAUAAUUAAUCCACCUUGCUCCUUUCAUAAUAAAUUCCAUAAUUCUAGAUUUGAACAAAUAAUUGCAAACCUUAGAAAAAUUAAUUCUCUUGAAUAUUCGUAGUUUGCUUUAGGCUCGAUUUAGACUAGUAUGAUGAUUAUGUAUAUGUUUGUGUAACAUAAUUGCGAAUUUAAUUCUAAAAAGUAACUCGAGGGAUGCGUUCGCGCAACUUCAACCAAGAUUUUCUUAAUAAAAUAAACAAAGCGUUAUUAAUUGUAGACACGUUCGCGUGACAUGAUUUUUGAUGCGCCAAAAGAAAAGAGUAUACGUACGCAUUACUCAAUUCUUUAAUUACGAAUAAAUCAAGUGAUUAAAAGCGGUAAAAUGACAAAUUCGCAUAGAUCCUAAAAAUGAGUAGUUAAACAAUUUAAGCCAAGUAAUAAUCACUAAGCGACUGUGCUAGAACCACAGAACCUGUGAAUGCCUAACAUCUUCUUUCGGGUUAAUAGAAUUCCUUAUCUAGAAUUUAUGGUUCGCAGACUUCAAAAAGGAAAGUCGAAAUUUCCUCGAUUUGUGAUUUAAAAUAAACCGGUGACUUGGGACACCGUAAAUUAUUCCAAGUGGCGACUCUGAUUAAAUAAAAUAAUCCCAUUUUGAUUUAUGUCACUUUAAUUGGAAAAACUCCCUUAUAUCCCCUCGGGAUAGUAAAAAGGAGGUAUGACAGUAUGCUACCAAAGUGUCAAAUGGCAAGGUUAUCACCUCGAGCCUAGAAUUAUUGGGUGAAAGGCGGGAGGCCACCGUAGUCUGGUUAGCCGCCCAAAAGCAAUGAGUAGGGAGGUACUACAACUGAAGAGCCAACCUCCGACAUUUUCAAGUUGGGGACUUGGUAUUGAGAAAGGUAACACCACACACUAGGAAUACAAAUGAAGGGAAACUAGGUCCGAAUUGGGAAGACCGUAUAUAGUUGACGAAAUAAUCGGCAAAGGCUCGUAUAAGCUCGAAUCAAGAAAUGGUGUACAACUACCGAACAUUUAGAACAUGGCACAAUUAAAGCUGUACUACUGCUAAGGUACAAACCCAAUUUUUUUUAUUUCGUUAUAUUAUAGACUAACUUAUGCAGGUACUCAGCCAAGGGCAAACGUGACUAUUAGGACUGAAAGCACAUAUUGUACUCUUUUUCCCGAACUGAUUCUGUUUCGAAGUGCAUUUUUCAGCAAGGUUUCUAAUUUGGCAACAGUAAAAUGUGCUACCUUAGUUUUGAAGACCGAUCUUAAAUCAGAAUCGUUGAUUGCUUGCACCGAGCCAACAGUAUCUGAGCCCUCACAAGUUCGGCCUCAAGAACUAGAGUCCAUUACCCCUAGGGUAAGAUCCUUAGAAAGGGAAAAUUUUAUAUGUUAAAAGCCAAGGCUUGAUUAUUAGGAUUUGUUGGAAGGGUCAAAAAGUCAUACGAACCGUGCCCAUGUAGCCUACUCCAGCCACGGCACAAGGCUUAUACGCCUCCGAUUAUGUAACUUCCAUAUAAAACAAUGAAAGGAAACUUUGCUUCCCUCAUACUUUAUUAUUGCACAUUUCGCAUUUCACUUCAUCGAUGCUUCACAACAAAUCCUAAUACCUAAAGCCCAUGGAUUAACCGACUCGGGGACUAUCGAUCGAUAAAAAAUCGGGCAUCCCGGGUCAUUGAAUUUUGGAGGCACCUAGCCUACUAGGUAGUGCCCAAAUACAAAAGGCUAUGACCACCCUAAAAUGGCUUGGAGAGUCCAAAAUUUGUAUUCAGAAAGUAAGGCCCUUACAUAUAAUUAAAACCUAUUAAAAGGUUACUCUCGGCAGCAAACACAUCGUCGUAUACAACUUAAGCAUCUUAAAGGCCUUGAAUUUUAUCGAAAUAUCGAAACCGCGAGUAAUCCGGAGUUGCCAUUGAAUCAGUAUCCAUUUAGGCCUCCGAAGAAUGGAUGCCUCGUAUUAUGUUCGAUUCUAUGCUAAGGCAUUAAGAACGAUGCACAAACAAAAGAUUGUAAAUAGAUGCUGAAAAGUAAGAACAUGGUAUUGCCAAAGGAAAAAUUUUGUACAUUUCAAAAAAUAUUUACAAAGGCACGAUAAAAUGGCCUCAAAAUAAGCAAGAAAGAAAAUAUAAAAGGGAAAGCCAAAAAUAAACUGAGGCACCUACGCCUAAUCUUCGCUGAGGCUUGACUCAGUAACUGAACCUUCGGAACCAACAGAGCCUUCGGGGCCUUCGGGAUCAUAUAGUUCCUUUGCCUUGGCCUCGAGCCUCUUGGCUUAUACGUUCUCAGCGGACAGAUCAAACCCUUAGGCGUUAAUUUUCUCGAGGAUCUCCCUUCGAGAUAGCCGCUUUACAUACUCGGUCUUUGUCUUUAAACGGGCUCGACCACCUCCACAUUUGCUUUAUACUGAGCCAGCAUUUCUUCAACCUCGGAGGAAUCAAUUGAAAUUGCCUCUAAUUUGGACUUCAGCGCAGUAUAUUCCUGGCCAAGGGCAUCUUGUUCUGAGGCGGCUAAAGCCAGUUGCUCCCGGAGCUUGUCAUUUAGCUGCGACCACUUGUCGGUUUUGUCCUUUGCCACCCAGAGCUGGUCCUUGACCAAUGACUGUUCCUCUUUUGUGGCAUCCUUUUCCGAAGCCAACAUGUCCAUUCUACCUUUCAUUGCAUCUAUUGUGGUCUUGACCUUAUCCAUCUCGGCCUGAAGCUGGUCAAUCAAGUCUAUCUUCUCUUGGACCUGUGAAGUUGCACCGUUAGUCACCACAAGUAGAUUCUCGUUUUUAGCCUCAAAGAUAUUUACCUUUUCGACUAGUUCGGCAUGAUCCCAUUUCUUGAACGAGGCCUCCUUCUUUGCCUUUUCCAGCUCAGCUCAAAGAAUCUGGAGGUCCUUGAAAGCCCCGUCUUGUUGUUCACUAAGAGCUCUGUACAUGUCCUUCUUCCAGAAUUGCUCUUUGAGCUCGAACUCGAGCUGGUUGAUUUCCAAGAGGGAUCGAAGGAAGGUUUCAUGAUGAAGCACCGAAGUCUGAAAAAUAAUGAGGUCGUUAGAACAUGCUAAAACUAAGCAAAUUUGGAAAGGAUACAAAGAAUAUACGUCUUACCUAGUUCAUUGCUUGUUGCACCUUAUUUAAAAGGCUCGAUGUACCUACUUCGUUCAUCUUCGCUUGGAUCUCCUCGGCCACCAGAAAACAAAGGUAGUUGGCCACACCCACCAGAGCAGGCAGUGCCCGGGCAUCCACCGGGAUACUAAGAAUGACCGUUCUAUUGGAACUCAAAUUCGGCUCGCCCGCUCCGAAUGGAACAUCCUUUUUUGGGACCUCCAGGUUGCCAAGCCCGGAGUAGUCCUCCAACUCUCAUGUCUAUGCCAUCGAAGAACAUGUUGUGGGCAUCAUCCGAUCUAGUGUCGUCUCGCUUGAUUUCUCUUUAUUGGCCUGAGCCUCUUCGAACAUGGACUCUGUGUGGGACGUCAUCUCCGUGAUGUCAAUGACACCAGCUACCUCCUUUGGCAGGAACAGCUUCUGGGGAUGCCAUGGCCUCCAAUCCUCCUUCUGGCUCCUAAGCUAGAGGGGAAUCGACCCCUCGGCCAUCUUCCCCGGUCGUCGCCCUCUCUCCCUCGUUGAUGGUUGACUCAUGAGCAAUGAACUCAUGGUCGUCAUCCUCAGGGUAAUCCCUAAGCCAAAAGAGGGAAUUAAGGCCUGGUACCCUAGCUUUGGUGUUCUUUUUGUUGCUUUUUCGAAUCCAGGCAGCAACCCUUUUAUUCUUCACCUUGGUGUCUAAGGAGCUAGAGGAUUUCCGUUUUCUCUUUUUAUCCUCCUUCGCGGCAGCUAUGGGCUGUCCCGAAGUAAAGGGUUCUGCAAGCGAGGAUAGGACCUCGUCCCCAUCCAAUGGCUGAAGCUCGGUGGUCUUGGGAAAGCUAGUGAAAGGGAAAAAGACUUAGCAAAUAUAAAAGUUAAGUAUGUAAAUAUAAUUAUUCGGGCAGGAGACUCACCGUGGGAACGAGCCUCCGACUUUCCCCUCGAGAGCUUGCGCCAUUCACGCUGGAAGUAAGGAAUUUGUUUAUAAAUCCCCUCGAUCCACUCAUUGAGGUGGGGGACUGCAUUGGGGACUUGGGCGACUACUGAACGACGGUAGACACAUGCACUUAGAAAAAAAACAAAAGGAAAUAACAAGCACUCAAGAAGGAGAAGACUUACUGGAUGAGUUCCACGUUUCACGGAAUGGUAGAAAUUUAUGGGGAAUGAGGUCUUUGGUUUUCACCCAAAGGAACCUCUCCUUCCAACCUCGAUCUCAAUUUUCAUCGAUACUCGAGAAUAGAGCCUUAGUUGCUCGACGAACGAGCUUGAUAAGCCCCCUUGGAAGAUUCAAGGACUGUAGAGACAAAGCAGGUUGUUGAGGGUGAGCCUUGGCGCUACGGUGUUGUUACAAAGUGUGGAGGAGGAUUACGAUCCUCUAAAAGGAUGGAUGAAUCCGCCCGAGCAGACCUCGUACCUUUUGCAGAAGCCGAGGAUUAUGGGGUCCACCGGGGCGAGCGUGAAAGGGUAAGUAUAACCACGUACGUAGUAAUGUCCUCAUUAGACCCGGGAACGACCACCUCCUUGCCCUUCCAAUUGUAGUCCACUCGGACUGUGGGGAGUAUGUUAAUACACAUUUUUUCCCUCAUAUUUUUCAAAAUAGUGCACAUGCAUCAUCAAUUGAUUUACAAGUAUGCACAAGUAUUUUUCAUAAUUUUCCAUAGUUUUUAAAAGCUUUAAAUCAAUUUAUUUCUGCAUUUUAUUAUAUAAAUAUCCAAUAAUUAUCCUUCAUAUUAUUUUUAUGAUGAUUUAAUCAUCUAAAUUUAUCAUUUGUACUAAAAUAAUAUUUAAAUAUUUUUCAGUGCAUAUUUAUAAUCACAUUUGCAAUUUUAAGGCUAAAUUGCAUAUUUUACAAUAAUAGCCCAUAUGUACCUAUGAUUAUAUUAUUUAUGCAAAAUAUAACUUCUUAUAUUUUUAUAGUAUUACAUAAUUAUUUAAAAUCUUUGUGUACAAAUAAUAUUUUUGUUAUUUAUUAAAAUUGGGUAUUUAAAAUCUAGCCCUAAUUCUAUAAUUAAUUUUGGACCUAUGCUACCCAAACAUAACCCAAUUACCCAAGCCCAAUACAUCUGACCCAAUUACCCUUACCCAUUCAAUUAAACCCAACCCAGUCUACUCAAAUCCCAACCGUUGAUAAAGAAUGAUCAAGGGCUUACAAACAAUUACCUCCUUUCCUUAUAUCUCCACCCCAAACCCUAUCCCUUAUUUUCUUAAUCUCGCCACCUCUGUUUCCCCCCUCUAAUUAACCCUAAUUCUGCCACCUCACUAAAUUCCCCAUAAUCUCAUUCCUAAUGGGAUUCUUUCCCCAUUCACCGACCAUUUCGAGAUAUUUUCCAUAUUUGGUGCUAUUUUAUGAAAUAACUUAAGUACUUGCCUAAACAUGAUAAGUACCCCACUUUGAUUCUGUCCAAAUCUAUAUUUACCUCUUGAAUCUGCACGAUCUUGAAUCCAAAUGCGUUAUUUUGUACCGAUUCUCUUGUAUCUCGCUGAUUCGUACUUAACCCUAAAGGUUAUGGUUUCAUAUUCUCUUUUGAUUUGAACCUAAGCUGGUUCAAACUUUUAUUUUUAGCAUUAUUCUGUCUCUAUUCACUCUAUUACCUGUUAAUUAACCUAUUUUUGUCGAUUUCUUUUACUUACCCAAAUUAGGGUUUCGGAUCUCCUUCAAUUGAACCAAAUCUGGUUCAAUUCUAUGUUUCUUUUUGAAUAAUCUCCUAUCUUUGUCUAUUUUUAUGCUAAUAUGUGAUUCUUGUCUUUAUUUUCAGCCGAUUUUGUGGUUUACCUAAAUUUAGUUUUUCAUACCCUUUUACUUGAACUAAAUCCGGUUCAAUGCUGUGUUUCUUUUUGAAUAAUUCCCUGUCUAUGUUUAUUAUAUGCAUUAUGUGAUUCUUUGUCUUAUUUUAUACUGAUUUUGCGUAUCUUCACCUAAAAUUUAGGGUUUUAAUUUUACUGAUUUAAGUACUUGCCUUUUGGUAUAUAAAUUAGCUAUGUUAUGUUCUAAUUUCAGAACUAUUUAAACUUCUCCCAACUCCCCUUUGAAAGUCUAGAAGUUUUGAGUUCGAAAAUCUUUUCACUACUAUACAAAAGUUGCGUGCUUCUACUCUCUCUUGAAUAAUUUUGUUCUGUGUUUUGAUUCCUGGCCGGCUGAAAGCCAAGGCCAGAAAUCCCUAAGUUCUUGCUUUUGUCUAGUGAUAUUCAUUGCACUGUUGGAUUCCUUUAUUUCCUGUUUCAUCUCAAUUGGCGAGUUAUUAGACCCUCUGCCAUUUCAUUAUGAUUGUUCACUCAACGUGUUACUUCAACUAAUCUAUGCUAGCCUAAUGUUAUUAUAUUGUGGUUUGAAACAUGAUUAAAUUUAUGUUGGGUUUAUUAAUCAUUUCUGCUUAAAUUCUGUGUUAUUGAGGACUAUCUCUUGAAGCUAAGUCUGUUAUGACCCUACUUUGAACAUGUGUUUAUUUCCUCUUGUGGGCCAAUGAACUAUGUAUAGAUGUAUGCAUUAAUAAGAUUACAAGUUUGUUUCUGUUACAAUAUGGCUUGUUUAACUUUGUUCUUAACAUAUUAUGACACUUCUAGUAACUGCCUUAAUUAGUUUUUUAACUUGUCCUAAUUUGUUGCUAACUAACGUGAUUCCUUCUUAUGAUACUAGUUUUUUCACUUAGUCUAAUCUAGAUCUUUUGUUAUCACUAUGAAUCUACCUAUGAACUUGCCUUGUUAUCAUGUGAUUAAUUCCUAAAACUUGACCAAGUUUGCCAAAGUUCAAGCAUGUAUACUACUUGUUUGGGUACAUGUGUUAUGUCCCUUCAGUGAAAUUCUUUGACUAACUGUUAUUCCUUUACUAUCUGGACUUUCUGAAUCCUCAUUCUUAGCCGACUGAAAGCCAAGGCCAUUUAGGUUCUGCCCUUGACCUCCAUAGUGUGAGCACUGCUUAGGGUUCAUGGAGACCCUUGUGAACUCUGACAUGCUAGGACUUGGUCCCUAGUCUUCUCUCUGAACUGUUUCUGAUCAAUCUCCCUAGUGUGAGCAUCGCCCUGGGUUCUUGAAGCUCUUGGGAACUCUGACACACUAGGGACUUGGGUUUUGUAUGCUCAUCUUUGAUAUAUGGGUGAAUCACUCAACAAUUGGUUAUGUUGUAUGAACAUGGGUUUUGGGGAUAUUGUGAGUUGAAGGCCUGGUCUGUCCAGGUGUAUUUGGGCCUACUGUAGGCUCCCUAUAGUUUACUCACUUUGUAAUUCAUUACCUUAAAUUCUGGUUUGUAAUUAAUUUUUUUUUGUAAUAACAAUUCUGGGGUAUUAUAAAAUUGGGAAGGGUUUCUUAUUUUGCAAUAAAAGUUGGGUAGAAAUCCUGCCUAUAG